rnacentral:tRNA from 1 species
UCCCUGGUGGCUUAGAGGGUAAAGCGUCUGCCUGCAAUGCAGGAGACGGAUUCAAUCCCUGGGUU